AUACAUGCAGUCGAGCGGGGAUAGGGCUUCGGCCUUAUUCUAGCGGCGGACGGGUGAGUAACGCGUGGAUAAUCUGCCUUUCACUUGCGGAUACCCAUGAGAAAUCAUGGCUAAUACGCAAUGCGAUCUAUUUCCCGCAUGGGGAAGAGAAGAAAGAUUUAUCGGUGAAAGAGGAGUCCGCGUCUGAUUAGCCAGUUGGCGGGGUAACGGCCCACCAAAGCGACGAUCAGUAGCCGACCUGAGAGGGUGAUCGGCCACAUUGGGACUGAGAGACGGCCCAAACUCCUACGGGAGGCAGCAGUAGGGAAUAUUGCGCAAUGGGGGAAACCCUGACGCAGCAACGCCGCGUGAAGGACGAAGGUUUUCGGAUCGUAAACUUCUAUCGACAGGGACGAAGAAAGUGACGGUACCUGAAUAAGAAGCCCCGGCUAACUACGUGCCAGCAGCCGCGGUAAUACGUAGGGGGCAAGCGUUAUCCGGAAUUACUGGGUGUAAAGGGUGAGUAGGCGGCCAGAUAAGUCAUAUGUGAAAUCCCAAGGCUUAACCAUGGGACUGCAUAAGAAACUGUAGGGCUAGAGUACAGGAAAGGUAAGCGGAAUUCUUAGUGUAGCGGUGAAAUGCGUAGAUAUUAAGAAGAACACCAGUGGCGAAGGCGGCUUACUGGACUGAAACUGACGCUGAGUCACGAAAGCGUGGGGAGCGAACAGGAUUAGAUACCCUGGUAGUCCACGCUGUAAACGAUGAUAGCUAGGUGUUGGCGCGAGAGCGUCGGUGCCGGAGUAAACACAAUAAGCUAUCCACCUGGGGAGUACGAUCGCAAGAUUGAAACUCAAAGGAAU
rnacentral:rRNA from 1 species